rnacentral:snRNA from 1 species
GGAUGUGAGGUCAAUCUGGCUGUUACAUCUGUCACCCUAUUGAGUGCCGGGAUUGAUUUGUCUGAUGUGGUUGGCUAGACGGCUGCCCCCUUCCUCCCUCACCAUUCCAAGUGCAUCCCUCCUGAAGCUUGGCAGAAGGGGAUGACCUUUCCUGAUUGAGGCAUACCAUUCAUUGGUCAAGGGUAUACGGUAGCUGCGCUCUCCUGCUAGAACCUCCAAACAAAUAAACAAACAAAGAGUAGCUGGUGUAGAAAUGCCCAUAAUGGACAAUACUUGUCAGUAU